CACAAAAAUUCCUUGGUCCUGAGUUAAGAUCGGUGGUCUUAGAACGCAUAACGUGAUGCUCACCAUGUUAUUGCACAAUACGUUAUAAAGUUCAGCAUAAGCCAAGAUCUUACUGGGAUCAUCUAAAGUGUGACAAUCUGCUAAGACCACUGAAAUAACAGUCUAAAACCAACUUAAGAUUUAACUGCCAAUAUUUGCCACAAAGAUCAAGCAGUUGUGUCCAGAAAAGGUCCAGAGUCCUUUUUAAAAAUCAUACAAACUUGCCAGUAAAAUAUUCUAAAACAAUGUCAUUUUUGUCAUCAUCUCUGUGCGUCAUGCACCUAAACAUUACUCUCCACAGGCUUAUGACCUCCUCAAUAAGGUCAUGUUUGGGCCUGUAUUUGACCUCCGAGUCUGAUGUUGUGUGAGGCAGAGAGAAGGCAGAUGUGAUGACUGGACAAAGCCUGCCCUUGUACUCUCAAUCUGGCAUGUAGUGACAUCAGCAGUGGCUGGCACAUGCUAGCCAAACAGUGGUCAGCACCCACUCAGUGCAGCUAUGAGCUUAAAAAUAUAGCAAUGACAAAUGGAGAUAAGUAAACACAAAGACAGAUCCUAAUGCUGGCGCUGCUUCGUUCAAGGACUACAAUGCCCGGGACACUUGAGAACUAAGACGUCUAAAUUCAAAGACCCCUCUAAAUAACUCUACAAGACGGGGACAGGAAGUGUUAUUUGUAUCUUGGGCUCAUCCGUUCUUCUGCUAGUUUCAAUAACCUGUGCAACCCAAGCUUUAAGCAGAAGCAGCACAAAAGUUUGUCUCCCCAAGAAGAAUCUGUCUGGCUAUUUUUGUGUUUCUAAGCUGGUAUGGAAAAUACUACAUCUCUCAACAACACCUUAAUCACUAAUGACUUCAAGGACCAAACAAAAGCUCCAGAUGGUUCAAAUGGUUGUUUCAUUGAUCCUCAGCUAGCAUUCAUAGUAGUUGCUGCAUCUGGGAGUCUAAUGCUUGUCCUACUAAUAUCUGUCUUGGUGCUGGCAUGUAAGGUCAUCACUUUAAAGCGACAGUGCCAGGACCGACGCCCAACCCGCAGUAACAUGGAUCUGAGAGGAUCAGGUCACUGGAGCACUGAAAGAGAAGAGGAAGGCAUUGUAGGACCAUGCGAGACCAGCGUCCUGCUAGAGGAAGUUAAGAGAGAUGGAGAAGAGCAGGAAGAAGAAGAGGAGGCUAUAUUGCAUCAAAGCAACUCGGACAACAUCGAUGAGGAAAAUGUCUUGGCCACCAUGCAGGGCUCCACCUCCAGAGAUUCCUGCAUAGAUCCUGCUAAGGAACUGGAGAACAUGCCUUUGGUGGUGUGAGCUUGCAUGUGUCUUUCACCUUCAGUGAUAAAUGCUAACCUUAAAGCAGUAUCUUAAAAGAUGCUAUCUGUGAUUUAACCAUGUAGAUUUUUUGCUGUUAAACUGUUUUUUUCCUACCUGCUCCCUUUUCUCUCUUGCAUUAUUUACAUUUAAUUUCAAAGUCUGGAACCUGGCAUUUAAUUUUUUUCUGUUAGAUAAGACGUCUGUAAUGGAUGAUAAUUAAUAUAACAUGAUAAUAAAAUUAAAAUGAUAUUCAUCUUAUAUUUAAAUACCACAAACACCUUUCUAUGUGAUAUCCAUGGAUUCAACUAAGCUAAUAAUACUGCUUAUCCGAGAUGAGCAGGUAAUAUAGUAGCUUGUUUUGUAAAAAUGGAAAUUCUGGUUUUAGAAACUGCUGUUUAUACAAAGACAGAAAUGUAUUAGUCACCCAAAUUUUGCUAUAUCUAGUCUUUCUCUCGACCAUCAUAGGUAGCAGAUAGGUUUUUAAAAUAUUUUUCACUUCCUUUGUAAUCAAGCAUGGCAAAAUAAAUUGCUAAUUAAAAAUAAUUUGAUUUG